rnacentral:misc_RNA from 1 species
GCAACAGAAAGUAUCUCUCCACAUCUCCCAUUAGAGAAGGGUGCAGACAAACUUUUUUCUGAGGUCCAAACAAGCAAAGCAUCAUAAGAUUCUCCUUUUGUUGACGAAAUCACAACUACAAUAAGAUAAUACUAAGAUGGAGAAUCCUAUCUGUUCUAUGGCAUCACUCUCUCCUCAGAAAAUACAUUAAAAAUCAAAAGCCGAUCUUUUUUUGUCUUGCCAGCCAUCCAUAACUGACCACCCAUACCAGUAUGGGCUCUAAUUUGCAUCAUCACUUAUAUUUCCCCAAAAAAACCAAAACUAUUGACUCAUGUCAGAUCCAUUCUUUCCCCACUCCUCUACACAUUAUGGACCCACCUUCCUAUGCUUUUUCAUUGUUGCCAACAGUUGCACCAUCUGAAACUGGUUUCACGUCCACAACAGGAAGUUUGAUCUUUGGGGAAAGUUUUUUCGCUUCCUCAGCUGUAUAGACGUAAAUUUUUCUAACCAUGCUGCAGAAUUCAUGCCAUGGGUCGUCUCCAACCAUCAUCAUGUCAUCCUCGUCAUCUGUGUAGACUACCUGCCAUUUCUUGGUUGAUCCACGAAGUUCACCUUCAAUCUCGAACAUCACCUCCAAUUUCUUAAGCAGAUCUUCAUAACUAUCUAAUCUUGUGAGAUCAACUGCCCUCCCAACUGCCUUCCCUUGCAUAUGCACCUUAGUGCAACUCCGGAUUUGUUUGCUUUGAGACUCGUGGGUAGACCUCAGAGAUGACUUUUCAGGUUCACAGCUUACUGAAGGAAUUGGAUUUGAUGGUUCUGAGUUUCGGUCAGAAUCAACAUUUAAAGAUGGAACUGGCUGAUCCUCCACUACAGCACUUGGCAUAGCAACCGAUGAGGAUUCAUCUAUGGUUGGGCAAUCCAGCAACUCAAUACCAAAUAACCUACAUCCAUUAGCUGGUCUCUUUUCACUAGCAGGUGCAACAGACUCGGUACAUGUCUCUGAUUGACUUGACCAGUACAUUGUUUUGGUAGAAAGAGGCAUGGAACCAUUCUCACCAUAACCCAGGCCCUUUGCAGCAGAAGAAAGUUUGGGUGAAGGAUAGAGAUCUCGCCCACGAGAUGGAUCACAGUAUGAGAAUGAUGAAGGAGAAUCUACAGGAGACUUCCACAUUCCUAAAGCAGGAAGUUCUUGCACUGGCGACGGUAAAACUGAUGGUCGAGCACGCUUAUUUCUUUGAGGAGGCUGGGUGUUUGUAGGUGUUGCUGCGACAAGUGGUUCCAUAUCCCAUGGAGAAACCCUAUCUGGACGCAAAAUUGAUGAUGGUUCAUCCCAGUGUACCUUCAAAGAUCUCCAUUCAGAAUCAGGCCAUCUAGAUGACGGGUUAUCACCAACACCAACAAUUGUUCCACUAAACCUUCUUUCUGGAACUUCCUCACCCUCAAAUCUCAUUUUAAACCUCAUCCCAACAGAGAGCUUGUGAUUUCGUGCUUCAAGAUAUUUGUUCACACUGACAAUGAAUUCUGACUGACUAGUCCUAGGCUUAUAGAACACAGAGAAGAGGGUCCCAGUCAUGAUGGCAUGAGAUGCAGUUGCAAGAACACCCAGAUGCAUGCUGUGACUUGAAAUCACAGAAGAUGGCAUAUUAUUUAACUGUCUCAUGAGUCUCCUAACACCAACUCGAAGCUCCCCACUGUCUCCCCUGAGAAAUAUGAAAGCAUCACCAGCAACCAACUUCUUUGCACUGACAAAAACACUCCACCCAGUUGUUAGCAAGUGUCGCCUAGGUUGACCUCGAAAAAUGUGGCGAAAGUGCCAUUCAUUGCCAUGUAGAUCACUGGCGACCAAUUCCUGCCAUGGUGGUUGCUGUGACAUAUCCAGUGGAGGCAAACAUUCAUCUGCAUGCCUUCGGAGAACAGAAAACCCACCAUGGGUGCUAGUAUCAGAUGCAGUAAGAGUUUUGCAAAACGAAUGGACAGUGCACUUUUCAGGUUCAGGGAGAGGGGGAUCAGGGCUUGUGAUCUCGCCUUGAUCUGGUUCAGGAAGCAGAGUUAUCUGUGCAUACACCUCAUCUGUCUCUGACUCAGCACGAAGUUGAACAUUCAUCACUUUGCAUAAAAUUUUAGCUGGCAAAUUGAAGGAAGGAAGGUGUUGGUCUACUCCCUGGUGUGUCGACGCUUCAAG